UGGAAACCUAAGCAGAAAGGAGCGUGUGAAUGUGGCCAUCAUCAGGGAUAAAUUAAUCCCAGACAUGUAAAGGGUUUUCUUUUUUCAUUCUCAGCCCUACUGCAAAUUCAAUUAUGACUCUCUGCCAGCUACUGAAAUGAGGGGACAAGAUCCAGGAAAGAGUUGCAGUCAUUCCUGGAUCCCCCCCAUGGAUCGAACCUUGGGGCAGCAGCCAGGUGCCAUCCGAGGACGGAGAACCGGCGGAAAUCGGGCUGCGCUCAGAGCUGAACGAGGAGGUGACUGCGUGCGGGACCAGAGCAUAGGCGGGCAAAGGCUCCCCGAUGAGAAAUUUGAGAGAACGACCAGCAGCAAGAAGAGAAUAAAAGAGCCACUAAUCCCAUCACCCAGAAAGAACCACUGUUGGCACAUAGGUGUCUCUAGAAUUUUCCAUCUGAGUACGCAAUGUAUGUUGGGAUUUUUAAAGAACAUGAUCUCACUGCACACUGGGGCUUACAGCCACCAUCCUGUGACUCUCCAUCCACCUCGCUGAGCGUGCUGCUACAACAUGGUUUUAUGGUUCCAAGACAGUCUAUCAUGUGGAUAAGCCACACUUUAUGUAGCCAGGCCCGUAUCGAUGGACUUUAAGGUAGUCUCCUUCCUUUCUUUUUUUUCUCUUUUCUUUUGGAACAUCUUGUCCACAGGGCUUUUCACUGGCCAUUCUGGGAGGCUAUUUUGAAGUGUCUAAGCAGUCCUUGACAUACGAGGUGGGAGAAGUCUCCUCUGGUUGUCAGAGAUCAGGACGGGGGUCUGGGCUGAAUGACCGGGUCCCUGUUUCCUUGUUUAGGGCAGGGGCCCCUUCGGUCUCUCAGCGACCCCCAGGCAAAGGCUGAAUCACUGGGAACACGGAGGAGAGAGGACUCACUAGGAGAACUAGGUUUUCCCGGCAGCUGUCCACAAACAGUGCUGCUCGUGGAGGAAGGCAAUUUCUGGGCUGCCAGGCUGCCCACAAAGGCCUGGGGUGGGGUUGGGUGGGGAGGGCU